rnacentral:rRNA from 1 species
GAUGAACGCUGGCGGCGUGCCUAAUACAUGCAAGUCGAGCGAAUGGAUUAAGAGCUUGCUCUUAUGACGUUAGCGGCGGACGGGUGAGUAACACGUGGGUAACCUGCCCAUAAGACUGGGAUAACUCCGGGAAACCGGGGCUAAUACCGGAUAACAUUUUGAACAGCCUGGUUCGAAAUUGAAAGGCGGCUUCGGCUGUCACUUAUGGAUGGACCCGGGUCGCAUUAGCUAGUUGGUGAGGUAACGGCUCACCAAGGCAACGAUGCGUAGCCGACCUGAGAGGGUGAUCGGCCACACUGGGACUGAGACACGGCCCAGACUCCUACGGGAGGCAGCAGUAGGGAAUCUUCCGCAAUGGACGAAAGUCUGACGGAGCAACGCCGCGUGAGUGAUGAAGGCUUUCGGGUCGUAAAACUCUGUUGUUAGGGAAGAACAAGUGCUAGUUGAAUAAGCUGGCACCUUGACGGUACCUAACCAGAAAGCCACGGCUAACUACGUGCCAGCAGCCGCGGUAA